rnacentral:rRNA from 1 species
GUCCACGCUGUAAACGAUGUGUGCUAGACGUUGGGGAGCCUAGCUCUUCGGUGUAGCAGCUAACGCUUUAAGCACACCGCCUGGGGAGUACGGCCGCAAGGUUAAAACUCAAAGGAAUUGACGGGGGCCCGCACAAGCGGUGGAGCAUGUGGUUUAAUUAGACGCAACGCGAAGAACCUUACCAGCCCUUGACAUGUCCGGUAUGGGUGGGGGAGACCUCAUUCUUCAGUUCGGCUGGCCGGAACACAGGUGCUGCAUGGCUGUCGU